GUCUAUAUGAAGAUAUUUAUAGUCUGGCCUGCUCCCUGACUAUAAAGUUAAAGAGCCGCGGUAAUUUGACCGUGCAAAGGUAGCAUAAUCAUUAGUUUCUUAAUUGGGAACUUGUAUGAAAGGUCUGACAAAGAAAAAGCUGUCUUUAUUAUGAAAGUUGAAUUUAACUUUUAAGUGAAAAGGCUUAAAUAAUUUAGAGGGACGAUAAGACCCUAUAAAGCUUUAUAUAAAAAAUAAUUAAAAUUAAAUUUAUAAUAAAGAUUUAAAUUAAUUAUUAUAUUUUAUUGGGGUGAUAAUGAUAAAAAUAAUAUUAACUGUUGAACAAAUAUACAUAAAUAAAAGAGUUAAGUUAGUUAAUGAUCCUUAUUUAAAGAUUAAAAGAUUAAGUUACUUUAGGGAUAACAGCGUAAUUUUUCUUGAGAGUUCAUAUCGAAAGAAAAGAUUUCGACCUCGAUGUUGAAUUAAGAUAUCUAUGUAAAGCAGUCAUUACAUAAGAAGGUCUGUUCGACCUUUAAAUUUUUACAUGAUUUGAGUUCAGACCGGCGUGAG
rnacentral:rRNA from 1 species